UGAAGAAAUUCUGGAUGAAAAUAGAAAAACUGUCCACUUUGUUCAAAUAGUCAUCUAAUUUCUUCAAAUAACUCAAGGCACUUGAUAAGCAACUUGAGUUUCUUUUGGGCCAAACCAAGAGGUACUCAACAAUGUUAGCAGAAAGUCUCGUUGAUACGCAUAAACUAGUGCAACAAUGUACUACACAAGAUCAAUUGAGUAUUAAAUACAAAGAUGCUAAUGUGGGACUAUGUGAGUGAGAUAAACAUGCAGCCUUCUUGUGAAUAUUUAGAGAGAACUAUCGGGCAAUUUCUUGUCCUAUAUUGUGUGAUACGAGUCGUGGAGCUGUUUACCUUUUAGACAUUACAAUUUUUCUGUGCAUCUAAGUUGUGAGUCUUUUUUGUGCAUCUGUGUUGUGGGUCUGUUUUGUGCAUGAGUUGUGGUUCUGGAUUGGUGAAAUUGGGUUUCUUUAGGGUUCAAAA